GCGUGUGUCAGGCUUUUCCUCUUUCCUGUGGGCUUUUUCCGAUUGCUUCUGCAGAAAUAACCAACUUCCCUGCCAGGCCCCGCCGCUGCAGUAAAUGCAUUAACGCUGGCAGCGGCUCCGCUGGCUGCUCGCCAUGGCCCCGGCGCUGGCGGAACCCAGCUUCCCAAAGCACCGCGGCACCGUGCUCGGCUGCUCUAAUGUAGUACAAGGCGUAACCCCAGCUUUGCUGCUGCUCUAAUGUAGAACAAGGUGUAACCCCAGCUUUGCUGCUGCUCUAAUGUAGAACAAGGUGUAACCCCAGCUUUGCGGCUGCUCUAAUGUAGUACAAGGCGUAACCCCAGCUUUGCAGCUGCUCUAAUGUAGUACAAGGCAUAACCCCAGCUUUGCAGCUGCUCUAAUGUAGUACAAGGCGUAACCCCAGCUUUGCUGCUGCUCUAAUGUACGUACAAGGCGUAACCCCAGCUUUGCUGCUGCUGUAAUGUAGUACAAGGUGUAACCCCAGCUUUGCAGCGCUCCUCCUUGUUUGCAGAUGGAGCAGGAUGACCACAGAGCGUCUCCUGCCUUUUUCACACAGAAGCAUGAGCACCCUUGGGGUGGUUUUCCCAUCAUGGGCAGGACUUUGGAAGAGCCGAAAGAAAAUGUCUCUAAUGGACCUGCUGUGUCUAACGAGGCUGAGGCCUUUUGGUGCAGUCGGUGGUCCAGGCGUACCUGCUUGGGGCUUAGCAAUAGCAUCUUAUGACAGAGGCUCUGAGAGCCCCUGAUAAGCAGAGAUUCCCCAGGGUUUUGAUGACUCACACCUACAGAUUUUGGAUCAAAACUGAGCCAACACCCCAUGGCCAAGGUAAAUGGAGAGAGGCACUGUGAAAACACAACGAGCCGCUGUGUGAAUCCCAGCAGUGCGUCCGGUUUGUCCCGGGAGCGUCUCCACUUCCUGCUGCUCGCUCUCGGCAGAACAAGCCCCCGUCCUCUGGCAAUGCAGGACUGAAGCUACGGCUGAAAAUGCUGAGUUACAAUGUGCUGGAGCGGCGUUCUGCUGUUAUCUCAAUAUCAGGUGUCUUUCCUGUUUUGCUUUUGCUGAAAUCGGGGUGUUUUGGAGAAAGAGAAAGCAAACGGGAGACAGAUGUGGAGAAUGAGCUGGAGCUGCCCCGAGUGCCCGCGGAGCCUGUGGAACCUGCAAAACCAAACCAAACCAAAUGAAACCAUCCACUGAAUGAGAACAUCCCAGAGGCUUUAGAGCCCUUUUGUGGGUAAUGGUAUCAGCAAAGAUUUGCCCAGACGAAGGGGCUCCAGCAUGGCUGUCAGGCACACAAAGGUCCCCGAAAGGACAGUGGCACCGUUGUGGGUGGCACUGUGAAAGGCUGCAGGGGAGGCUGGCAUGUUCAAAGCGUUCCCUUUGCAAGGCUGCAUUUCCCAGGGCUUUUUAUUUUUGUCUUUACAGGAUUACAAUUUAAAUAUGCUUUAAUUGCCUGGGCGGCACGGGGCUGCGCAUCGUGCCGGAGCUGGGACACCACACGUGCUCGGGGCAAAGCUGGUUUCUUGGUUUUUCACGGAAUUUUAUGAAAGAGCAUCGCGGCCGCGCUGGACCACUUUGGAGGAAUGAGCGUCAGAAAACCUGCCUGGAUGUCUCGUGGUGUUGCUCUGGGCUCGGGGUGGCCCUGGGGGGUGACGGUCCCUGCACAGGUAAGAAGCACCGGGCUGUGCCCUUGGCUGAGUUUGAGGGUAAAUCUGAAAAAUUCAUCCUUUUGCCAGAUGAAGCUUUGUCCAGGCUCCUGUUGCAACCCAGCAUGACUGUUGCAAUGCCAUUUUUUCCCUAUUUUGGGAGCGUAAAGAGCUGCAGGGAUCUGAAUCCAAAAUUGUGGACGUUUAUCAGCAUCACGGGCAGGCUGGCAGCAAACACACUUUCCCUUCAGGGCCCCCAGAAAAUCUGCAGUGACCCUUCGUCCCCCUGCCCGAACAGCCGUGUCCCAGCUCCCGCUUCCCCCGGGCUGCUGUCACCUUCUCUUUCAAAGCCUCCUCUUUCAGGACAUUGAAGAAAGCGUUCGCAGCCUGGGCUCGCUGGUGAGCUGACCCUCGCCUGGCCCGGCCCUGAUGCUCUUGCAUCCAUCUCACUCAGCUUUUCAUUUCGGUCAGGCCUGCCUGGGGCUAGUCGCAAGCAAACAAGCUCCAUUUUGGCAAGUUUUGGGGCCAGAUGCUUUUUUUCCCCCUUGUCUGUGUGUCAGAGUCCACAUGCCCACAUUUCUGUCAUUCUAACUAAGCACAUCCCUUCAUCCUGUUGAUUUCUGAAUUCAGACACACCAGAGGUUUGGAGCGAUACCUGGGGUGUGUGUGAUGGGGAUGUUGCCAUGUUUGCAGCAGCAAAGCUCCCCCCGCCUGAAAACCUCCCCUGAGCGGCACCGGCACUUUGUACGCACAAAGUCUUUAUAUUUUCUGGAACGUGGGUGUUCUUUAGAGGUUUUCCUUUGAAGCAGUGGUGAUGCAGAGCUGCUUCUGCGUCAGCCUCUCCAUCCUUAUCUCUUCCGUUAGGCUCUGACCUUGUUUAUCAGGCGGGUCCAGUUUCCCUUUCUCCCCGCACUGGGGCUCCCAGGAAAACUCUGGCACAUGGAGGAGUCCCCACCACCACCUGCACCCACGCUGCUGCAUUUGUGUCUGCUAGAUAAGCAUUGCAUUGUACAACUGCUGAGAAACACCCCAAAACCACACGGGCUUGUUUAUGCCGUGACUUUGCAUGCAAGGAGAGGGGCUUAAAAUCAGUUUGCAGGGGAACAGAAACCAUCCCUCCCAGGUCGGGGAUGGAUUUUGCCGAAUUUCAGGUAGUUACAAGAGGCAGGUACAGCUGAACGGGCUCUGAUGGUCUUCCCAUGGCUCAGAGAAGAAGUGGGCACGUCCAGAGGCCAACAUCUGGGCGGGUUUAGACCCCCCGAGCCGAGGCUGUUUCCACCCAGGUGUGUGGAAGCUCAGAGCCCAGCACCAGGUUUUGGUGAGGGGUGUAUCUGUGUGUAAGCACAAGGCCUGUGCAGCGGUUCUUGCCGUGGAACCACGGCGCUGAAGCCGUCCCCAUGCUCCACAGCGAGGGUGUCGCCAGCCGGAGCCCCCACUGCCACCAAUGGAGGAGCCAUCGCGGUCCAGCAAUUUGGCUUUUCCCAGGGGCUGAUGGGUUCCUAUAGCAACGGGAGCCGCUCGCCGCAGCUUUCGCCUUCCUGACGAUAAAAGCGCUCCCACUCGUUUUCUGAAAUUAGUGCCGCUCACCCCACACGCUGCGGCGCCGCUGCGUGUCCACAACACGAUCAGGUCCAUCAGCAGCCCCUGCGCUGCCUGAAGCGAUGACCCCCGGGUCUUCCUCAUCGCCCUAAAAAGGGGGAUAUUAACAUGCAGUAAAAGUGAUGCUCUGGUUGUGGGGUUUUUUAUGGGGGACUCUCCCAUCCCUGCUCCAUCUGUGGAUUUUGGGAGACCCGCGGUGGUACCGAGCUGGGAGAGCUUUGGGGGAGAGCUCUGGGGACCGGCACAAGGUCACCCCAUGUCCCAUCACCAGCUUGGGGCAAAAUGUAGAAUUAAGUACGGCAUACACCAGGUUUUUCUCUGAGAGAGGACGUGGUGAAUGUUCAGCGUAAUUAAGGAGCCUCUUGCCAUCUGCCGGGGGAGCUGAAUGGAGGGUAAACAAACUGAAUGAAAAGUAAACUGGAGUUUAAGAAAUCUUCAUUAAUUUGCUGCAGCAAGAGCUUGCUGUGCUUAAAGAAAUUAAAAUGUGAGCUCUCAAAAUCAUCUUGCAGCAAGCUAAGGUGGAGGAGAUACCUUGGGAAUAUGUAGUGAGAGGAAAACGGGUACAUUCAUGAAUCAGCUGCAGCUGAUGAUAAUUCAGUAGCUCGGCACUGCUAAGGGAUGCGGCGGUUCAUGGAGAGGUAACGGCGGCGUGGAAAUCCCCACUUUGCCCGACCAACGAGAUCUGGGGCAUUUCCCCGCUGCCCUUUCUGUGGUGCAGAGCAUGAGUGGGAUUCCGCUGGUCUGAGCUAAGCAGUAAAACCACUGAAAAUGUCUGAUUAUUGGGUAAGGACCAUGUGCCCGCUGGAAAUUGGCACCUACCGAGUCACCAGCAAUGAUUUUGGUUUCAAUCCUCAGAGGGUUUAUCGUUGUAGGCUUGCAGCUUUGAAUUAAACAAGAUUAUUUGUUUGAGUUAAGCAAAAUAAUUGUCCUGUCUCUUUGGCAAUCAGGCUUUGAAGUGUUGGCAGAGGCGGGGAGGAGCAUGGGCUGGACAAAGUCCAUUUCGCAAGGCAGCAGAAGAAAUAAAACCAGGUUAUUCUAUAUGUUACCUCAUAAGUUAUAAACCCAAGGUGAGUGUUUGGAUGCUGUGAUGCUGGGCAGGUGUUUUGCCUGCACAUGGUGGUUGAUUUUGGAAGGUGAUGCUCCACAAGCCCCAGGCGAGCCCUGCCAAGGGCUGAGCCGUGACGGUGCCCACGGUGGCUCCAAAUACACCCGGCAAAAUGAGGAGGAAGGAGCCAGUGGUGGGUAGAACAGCUCGUCCUUAGAAGGCUGCUCUCGGUCACCUCUUGCAUGUCGUGCUUUUGUUCUCCUCAAGGUGUAAGAGACAUGGAACGUAGUUUACACAAGGCGCAAUUUUAGUGUUGGGAGAGCAAUCUCUGCAUGCAGCAUCAGCUCCAUCCUCUGCCAUCUGCCGUGCUGCUGUCAGAAAAAGCAAUAGUUCGUCUUUGUCAGCUCUUUAACUGCCCUGGUUUUGUUAAAAAACAAGUUUCUCUUUUAGUGAAUUUGCCUGUCAGCUAAAGCUUUCAUAUUAGCUGCAUUUUCCUGGAGAACCAGACACAUGUUUUGGUAAACCUAGCAAUGGAAUGCAGACUUGUUGAUAAGCAUGGAUGGACAUCUCCCGAGAGGGACAACGAGAAACAAGUGACCAAGCAACUGACCAACUGUGUAUAACAUUCCAUUCACGUGAAUACUGCAUAUAAAAGUGGGAGAUCACGAGGAUCUCGUCCCUUUUGCCUUUUGCCUUUUCCCUUCUGCUUAUGGCCGACAUUAGCAGAGGACCUUGCUAGUCGUCCCUGUGAACUGAGCCCUAGUGACAGACUGAAUCCAGCUCCGGUUGGCUUCAGAGUCCAGUCCAGGACUUUGGCUGCCGGCUCUGCAGUUGCUGAGACUUUCAAGAUUAUUUUUGUAUAUUUUGUAUUAUUUUCUCUAUUCUUAUUAGUAGCAUUAGUAAAACAUCUUCAGUUUUUCCAA